rnacentral:sRNA from 1 species
GGUCAUUUUGUCCUGCUAUCUCCUCCUAAACGAAAAAAGAUAUUGAAAUUAAAUUUACAGGGAUUGUAGACAAAAGAUUAUAGAUGUGUUUAAAGGCAUUUAUGGUUGUCUGGCUUCAAAGGCGUCGAAGCUCGCCUGGACCCGAAAAUCGAGUUUGAAAAAACGACGUAAUUUUUAAUGGUUUUCGUUCUUUAUCUCCUUUCCUGAAAAUAUUUUACCAUAACAUAUAGAGCAAAUAAAAUUUAUAUUUACAAGAUCUUUUGUUUGAUGACAAGAAAAAGGGGCUGGUCCCUCAAAUUAGGGGCCAAAAGGGUUCUAAAGUCUUUCUACCAUAGCACUUUACUGAGAAAUAUUUUGUAAUAUGUUUAAGAAGCAAAAAUGUUCAUCUUUUACUAAUAAAACUAUACCUUAUAACAUUUUUAUUAUGCAUUACGUAAUAUGGGGUUUUAAGGGGCCAGAAGUCCAAAACUUUGAUUGAAUAUAUCUCAAAAAGGACAAAUAUUUUGAAAAGCAAUAUAGAAUAAAAGAUGCUUAGAAUGAUGUUUUAAACAAUAUUCAUUCAUAAAAGUUUCGUUAUCUGGCCCCAAUAAGGAGAUUAGGGGUCGGCCCAUAAAAUGUCCUAUCCCAGAUAGCUCUAAAACGGCAAAGAAUUUCUAAACACUUGUUGAACAAAAUAUGUUUAAUAUCAAAAGAACUUUCGUAUGAUGCCAAGAAAAAGGGGCUGACCCUUCAAUUUAGGGGCCAAAAGGGCUCUAAAGUCUUUUUUUCAUAGCAUUUUACUGAGAAAUAUUUUGUUAUAUGUUUAAGAAGCAAAAAUGUUCAUCUUUCACAAAUAAAACUAUACAUUAUAAAAUUUUUAUAUGCGUUACGUAAUUAGGGGUUUUAAGGGGCCAGAAGUCCAAAACUUCGAUCGAAUAUAUCUCAAAAAGGACAAAUAUUUUGAAAAGCAAUAUAGAAUAAAAGAUGCUUAGAAUGAUGUUUUAAACAAUAUUCAAUCAUAAAAGUUUCGUUAUCUGGCCCCAAUAAGGAGAUUAGGGGUCGGCCCCUAAAAUGUCCUAUCCCAGAUAGCUCUAAAACGGCAAAGAAUUUCUAAACACUUGUUGAACAAAAUAUGUUUAAUAUCAAAAGAACUUUCGUAUGAUGCCAAGAAAAAGGGGCUGGCCCUUCAAUUUAGGGGCCAAAAAGGCGCUAAAGUCUUUCUUCCAUAGCACUUUACUGAGAAAUGUUUUGUAAUAUGUUUUAGAAGCAAAAAUGUUCAUCUUUCACUAAUAAAACUAUACAUUAUAAAAUUUUUAUUAUGCGUUACAUAAUUAGGGGUUUCAAGGGGCCAAAAGUCCAAGACUUCGAUCGAAUAUAUCUCAAAAAGGACAAAUAUUUUGAAAAGCAAUAUAGAAUAAAAGAUGCUUAGAAUGAUGUUUUAAACAAUAUUCAAUCAUAAAAGUUUCGUUAUCUGGCCCCAAUAAGGAGAUUAGGGGUCGGCCCCUAAAAUGUCCUAUCCCAGAUAGCUCUAAAACGGCAAAGAAUUUCUAAACACUUGUUGAACAAAAUAUGUUUAAUAUCAAAAGAACUUUCGUAUGAUGCCAAGAAAAAGGGGCUGGCCCUUCAAUUUAGGGGCCAAAAAGGCGCUAAAGUCUUUCUUUCGUAGCACUUUACUGAGAAAUGUUUUGUAAUAUGUUUUCGAAGCAAAAAUGUCCAUCUUUCACUAAUAAAACUAUA